GAUGAACGCUAGCGACAGGCUUAACACAUGCAAGUCGAGGGGCAGCAUAGAAGUAGCAAUACUUUGGUGGCGACCGGCGCACGGGUGAGUAACGCGUAUGCAACCUACCUAUCAGAGGGGGAUAACCCGGCGAAAGUCGGACUAAUACCGCAUAAAACAGGGGCACCGCAUGGUGAUAUUUGUUAAAGAUUAAUUGCUGAUGGAUGGGCAUGCGUUCCAUUAGGUAGUUGGUGAGGUCAUGGCUCACCAAGCCGACUAUGGAUAGGGGUACUGAUAUGUUGGUCCCCCACACUGGUACUGAGACACGGACCAGGCUCCUACGUGAGGCAGCAGUGAGGAAUAUUGGUCAAUGGGCGAGAGCCUGAACCAGCCAAGUCGCGUGAAGGAAGAAGGAUCUAUGGUUCGUAAACUUCUUUUGCAGGGGAAUAAAGUGGAGGACGUGUCCUCUUUUGUAUGUACCCUGAGAAUAAGGAUCGGCUAACUCCGUGGCAGCCGCCGCAGUAACAC
rnacentral:rRNA from 1 species